rnacentral:lncRNA from 1 species
UAUCAGGAGACAUUUCACAGCUAGACAGUUUCUUGGUACAAACCUGCUUUUACUUGGUACCAAGAUAGCUUGAGCCAUUCAUCAAGAGGGCAACUAUAUUUAGCUAGCUCAAUCUGUUUGAAUCUCAAGCAGAGGGAGAAGAAGCAGAUUGUUUGCUUAUAUCAACUUGUAUAACGAACAUAAUUUAAAAGAAUAGCUAUCUUUUCUUUGAAAGUUUCGUUGAGCUCCAAUAUUUCAAUACAUGUUAGGAUAGGUCAAGGCAGUUU